CACAAACUGCAAUUACUUUUGC
rnacentral:miRNA from 1 species